rnacentral:rRNA from 1 species
AGAGUGAACGCUGGCGGCAGGCCUAAUACAUGCAAGUCGAACGGCAGCACAGCAGAGCUUGCUCUGUGGGUGGCGAGUGGCGGACGGGUGAGGAAUACAUGGGAAUCUGCCCAGUCGGUGGGGGAUAACGUAUGGAAACGUACGCUAAUACCGCAUGCGCCCGUUACGGGGGAACGCCGGGGACCUUCGGGCCUGGCGCGAUUGGAUGACGCCCAUCGUCGGAUUACGCUAGGUUGGGACGGGGUAAACGGCCCAACCGAAGGCGACGAUCCGUAGCUGGUCUGAGAG